AUUACGGACUUCAAUGAAGUGGCGGGAGAAAUCGAGAUGGUGGCGUAUUUGACAGCAAAGUGGGAAAACGAACUUUUGAGGUGGACAAUCACCGAGAGUAAUAUGUUGAGGAUGCUUCUCCCUCAGGACCAGUUGUGGAAGCCCACCAUUGUCCUCUCCAACUCAGUGGAAUCUCUCAAGGAGCUCGGAGACAAGAGUUACCGGAUCCGUAUAGAUAACGACGGCAACCAUGAGUGGCAGGUGGGAAUAGUAUCAAAGACAGCGUGUUCCAUUGACAUUACCUACUACCCCUUUGACAAACAGUCCUGUAACAUUACUUUCAAUCCGUGGGGCUAUACCAUAGACCAGAUCGAUUUCAUCACCCCCGACAUGUCUGUAGACUUGACUCACUAUCAAGAAAACGUGGAGUGGACCAUUGGCAGCACAUUGGUUGCUAAAGAAGUGAAAGACAACUCUGUCUAUAUCAACUUUGUUCUGAACCUGGAGAGGAAACCCGGUUACUUUAUAGUCAACAUGAUCAUCCCUAUCCUUAUCCUCAGUCUCCUGAAUGGGCUGGUGUUUCUGCUGCCAGCAGACUCGGGUGAACGCGUCGGAUACGCCAUAACGGCCUUUCUGACGUUUGCUGUCUUCCUUUCAAUGGUCGCUGAUAACCUUCCGAAAGCGUCAGAGCCCAUGUCCAUGCUCUGUUACUUCCUGACCCUGAUGUUGUGUCUGAGCGCUGUGUCCACCAUUGUGACCAUCUUUGUUCUCCGAGUUCAUCACCAGCACGAGGAGUCAGAAGUCCCGAAAUACCUGCGCCACAUCAUUGCAUUCAUCAAAUGUGAUAAAUGCAAAAAGUUGUGCUGUCCCGAAGACACUCUUAAAGAGAUAAAUCCUGAUGAUGAAGAGGAGGAAGAUGAUGACGAUGACGAACUUAAGAACCGGGAUGAUACCCUAUACAUUACGUGGAAAGUGGCUGCUAGGGUUCUGGACUACUUCUUUUUUCUCUUUUUUCUAGGGUCAACAUCGGCUAUCACUUUCUUUUUCCUCAUUCCACUUGCGCUGGCUGCAUGAGAGAGAGAGAGAGAGAGAGAGAGAGAGAGAGAGAGAGAGAGAGAGAGAGAGAGAGAGUGUGUUUCAUUGUGUACGACGUGAUUUCAAUAUGUAUUUUUCCGUGAUUUUUAAGUAUAUUUUCACAAAUUCGUAUUUUUUAAAAUAGUGCUUGCUGGUUAUUCUAAAAUAUUCCAGUUAACAUUACUAUUGUUAUUACUGAGCGUCAAGAAUUUUUUUGGAACAUAUUUUUCAUAGAUGAUUUAGUUACAUUUGUCUUAACGAUUAUGAUAUCACGAGUGACAAGCCAGCUGAAACCAAUUGUGUUUCAAAUUACUAAUAAAUUGGCGCAACCAC
rnacentral:misc_RNA from 1 species